CCUACGGGUGGCUGCAGUGGGGAAUAUUCGACAAUGGGGGCAACCCUGAUCCAGCCAUGCCGCGUGUGUGAAGAAGGCCCUCGGGUUGUAAAGCACUUUCAGUGAGGAAGAACGCCUGGUGGUUAAUACCCAUCAGGAAAGACAGCACUCACAGAAGAAGCACCGGCUAACUCCGUGCCAGCAGCCGCGGUAAUACGGAGGGUGCGAGCGUUAAUCGGAAUUACUGGGCGUAAAGCGCGCGUAGGUGGCUUGAUAAGCCGGUUGUGAAAGCCCCGGGCUCAACCUGGGAACGGCAUCCGGAACUGUCAAGCUAGAGUGCAGGAGAGGAAGGUAGAAUUCCCGGUGUAGCGGUGAAAUGCGAAGAGAUCGGGAGGAAUACCAGUGGCGAAGGCGGCCUUCUGGACUGAAACUGACACUGAGGUGCGAAAGCGUGGGUAGCAAACAGGAUUAGAUACCCUUGUAGUC
rnacentral:rRNA from 1 species